ACAACAACCUGUUUGACCAUAUUAGCCAUCAGGACUAAACAACAACAACCUGUUUGACCAUAUUAGCCAUCAGGACUAAACAACAACAUCCUGUUUGACCAUAUUAGCCAUCAGGACUAAACAACAACAACCUGUUUGACCAUAUUAGCCAUCAGGACUAAACAACAACAACCUGUUUGACCAUAUUAGCCAUCAGGACUAAACAACAACAACCUGUUUGACCAUAUUAGCCAUCAGGACUAAACAACAACAUCCUGUUUGACCAUAUUAGCCAUCAGGACUAAACAACAACAACAACCUGUUUGACCAUAUUAGCCAUCAGGACUAAACAACAACCUGUUUGACCAUAUUAGCCAUCAGGACUAAACAACAACCUGUUUGACCAUAUUAGCCAUCAGGACUAAACAACAACCUGUUUGACCAUAUUAGCCAUCAGGACUAAACAACAACCUGUUUGACCAUAUUAGCCAUCAGGACUAAACAACAACAACCUGUUUGACCAUAUUAGCCAUCAGGACUAAACAACAACAUCCUGUUUGACCAUAUUAGCCAUCAGGACUAAACAACAACAACAACCUGUUUGACCAUAUUAGCCAUCAGGACUAAACAACAACAACCUGUUUGACCAUAUUAGCCAUCAGGACUAAACAACAUUCCAUAUUUAAAAUUGACUCUUCAUCUUUUUGCGUGUGACUUUAAUCAAUAUUAUAGUUUAAUGCACAUUUUAAGUUUCACUCUUUUGUAUAUCUGUCUGGGAUGAGUUGACGCGAUGUCAGUCGGUCUCCACACAACCAGAACUAUGCUGUCAGCUGUUGUUCAAUGUACGUCCCUGUCCCAAACGGUUCCUUGUGUACUACUUGGGGCCAGGGGCCCCAUUUGGGUUAACUAUAAGGAGUAGGCCAGGGGCCCCAUUUGGGUUAACUAUAAGGAGUAGGCCAGGGGCCCCAUUUGGGUUAACUAUAAGGAAUAGGCCAGGGGCCCCAUUUGGGUUAACUAUAAGGAGUAGGCCAGGGGCCCCAUUUGGGUUAACUAUAAGGAAUAGGCCAGGGGCCCCAUUUGGGUUAACUAUAAGGAAUAGGCCAGGGGCCCUAUUUGGGUUAACUAUAAGGAGUAGGCCAGGGGCCCCAUUUGGGUUAACUAUAAGGAGUAGGCCAGGGGCCCCAUUUGGGUUAACUAUAAGGAAUAGGCCAGGGGCCCCAUUUGGGUUAACUAUAAGGAGUAGGCCAGGGGCCCUAUUUGGGUUAACUAUAAGGAGUAGGCCAGGGGCCCCAUUUGGGUUAACUAUAAGGAAUAGGCCAGGGGCCCCAUUUGGGUUAACUAUAAGGAAUAGACCAGGGGCCCCAUUUGGGUUAACUAUAAGGAGUAGACCAGGGGCACCAUUUGGGUUAACUAUAAGGAAUAGGCCAGGGUGCUACUUGGGACUCAUAUUUUAUAAAAGAGGUUAGGAACUUGUUACGUGUAUUAAUCUGCCCCAUCUGUCCCCAACCAACAACGCUGCGUUCAGAAACCAGUGUGUUGAUAUUGUCUAUUGCUCAACACAUGGACGAGACUAAACGCUUCUAUGAGCUUCUGACAUCACUUCCCCAUUAAUUUUUUUUUUUUUUUUUAAGAGAAAUAACUAUUGUGAUGUCAGAAGCUCAUAGAAGCGUUUAAAAAAUAAAAAAAGAGAUCUAUUGUGAUGUCAGCGAGGCGGCAGCCCACCAGGUGACUGACUGUUCUACUGAACCCAACAGAACAGUGGCAACAGGUGUAAUGUAUUAUUUACAUGGGGUUUUUCUAUUUGGCUCCCACUAAAUAGGUGACGAGUUCGAAUGGCUUAUUAUUUACUGGGUGUUUUGAAACGGGUUUGUAUAUCAGCAAGUUCUUGGUGUAAAAUAAUAAAAAAAGACAUGUUAUUAAACUGGUAUAAGUCG